AGAGAGAGACAUGCGCGCAUAUCAAUAAGCGGAGGAAAAGAAACUAACAAGGAUUCCCUCAGUAACGGCGAGUGAAGCGGGAAGAGCUCAAAUUUGAAAUCUUCAAGGUUCUACCUUGACGAAUUGUAGUUUAAAGAAGUGUUUUCUGUUGAAGUUUUGGUAAAAGUUCUUUGGAAUAGGACAUCAUAGAGGGUGAGAAUCCCGUAUUUGACCAUUAUUUUCAGCUUUGUGAUACACUUUCAAAGAGUCGGAUUGUUUGGGAAUGCAGUCCAAAAUGGGUGGUAAAUUUCAUCUAAAGCUAAAUACUGGCGAGAGACCGAUAGCGAACAAGUACCGUGAGGGAAAGAUGAAAAGAACUUUGAAAAGAGAGUUAAACAGUACGUGAAAUUGUCAAAAGGGAAGCGUUUGACACCAGUGUUGUUUUCUCGAAAAUCAAUUAAAAAUGGCUCGAUUUUGUAUUGUUGAGACCUUAAAAGCUCACUGUACAUUUUUCGUGUCUUUUUUAAUGCACUUUUCGUUUAACAAGUCAACAUCAGUUUCUUUUGUUGUAAAAGGGUCAUUGGAAGGUGGCUUUCUUUUCGGAGAAAGUGUUUAUAGCCUUUGGCCUCUGCAAUCGGAGAGACUGAGGAUCUGCAGCGUAGACUCUUCGGGGUUAGAUACAUUUGUGCUAAGUUAUAGCUUUUUAUAGACAACUUGUUGACUAUAAUUAGUCUUGUAGCUUACUCGCUUAUGCUAUUUUACCUACGCUUAGGAUGUUGAGUCGUAGAGCACGCA
rnacentral:rRNA from 1 species